rnacentral:hammerhead_ribozyme from 1 species
CUUUUUCUGAGGAGUCCCAAACUAGGACGAAACGGCUGUCCAGUAC